rnacentral:rRNA from 1 species
UACGAAGGGGGCUAGCGUUGCUCGGAAUCACUGGGCGUAAAGGGUGCGUAGGCGGCUGUUCAAGUCGGGGGUGAAAUCCCGUGGCUCAACCACGGAAUGGCCUUCGAUACUGGACGGCUCGAGACCGGAAGAGGUGAGUGGAACUGCGAGUGUAGAGGUGAAAUUCGUAGAUAUUCGCAAGAACACCAGUGGCGAAGGCGGACUCACUGGUCCGGUUCUGACGCUGAGGCGCGAAAGCGUGGGGAGCAAACAGG